AUGUGGAAAGAUCAUUCAGCGAUUCCCCAAGAAGGACUGGGAGGGAACGGCCUUUCCUCAGGGGGUUGAGAUGGCAAGUGAUGAUGAUAGGAACCAGCUCACAUCCUCAUCUGUUAUGGAUGAGCCAGGUCUCUAAAUGGAGGAUGUGGAUCUCGUGAAAGACAAGAGUAGAUGAGCUGUUGCUAAAAUGAAUAACAGAAUGACAAUAAGGUUAACUUGAUCUUGGAUCUAAUGAUUACAUGAACAAAGGCUGUAUAUUAGUGUUAAUCUUAGUUUAUUAUACGCAAAAGGAAUAUGGUAUCUCUAUCUUUACAGUUUGAGAACCUAGCAUUGCAGCCGAACUGCAGCUAGCCCACCAAUGCCUUCAGUUACCGCUGGAUCAAGUGACACCUAGUCCCGCACGUCAUGCUCAGUUUAAUCAAGAAAACCAUUAAUUUUCAUCAAGUUGGGAAGUGACAGCCUAUAUUUAGUUAUUUACAUUUACCGUCAUAUAGCUUAGAGCAAAGAAAUGAAACGUGCCACACAAAUACCAAAGGAAUGACUGGAAUGACUUUGGUGCUCACUGUUUAAUUAGUUUGCUCGUUUAAUUACAAACACCAUUUGUUUAAGGCUUGGCGUAUGUGAAUGU